GCCCUGGCUGAUUAAUGGUAAAUCACCCACCGCCCUUAAGGAGGAGAGCCAAUUGAUGUGGGAGACGGAGGUUCGAAUCCUCCCUGGGGCA